rfam:Eubacterium sp. CAG:603 genomic scaffold, scf88
GUUUCCGUAGCUCAGCUGGAUAGAGCGACCGCCUCCUAAGCGGUAGGUCGGGUGUUCAAAUCACCUCGGGAACG